AUAUAAAAUCUACAGAACUGGGGAUAGAGUUGUUAAGGGUAUCUA
rnacentral:guide_RNA from 1 species